ncrna:unclassified sequences DTF805b RNA
ACGGCGUCCUCCGAAAAGCCGACGAUAGAGUAGGAA